rnacentral:rRNA from 1 species
UACGGAGGGGGCUAGCGUUGUUCGGAAUUACUGGGCGUAAAGCGUGUGUAGGCGGCUCUGCAAGUCGGAUGUGAAAGCCCCGGGCUCAACCUGGGAAGUGCACUCGAAACUGCUGAGCUUGAGUAUCGGAGAGGUCGGUGGAAUUCUCGGUGGAGAGGUGAAAUUCGUAGAUAUCGAGGGGAACACCAGUGGCGAAGGCGGCCGACUGGACGAAUACUGACGCUGAGACACGAAAGCGUGGGGAGCAAACAGG